GAUGAACGCUGGCGGCGUGCCUAAUACAUGCAAGUCGAGCGAACAGACGAGGAGCUUGCUCCUCUGACGUUAGCGGCGGACGGGUGAGUAACACGUGGAUAACCUACCUAUAAGACUGGGAUAACUUCGGGAAACCGGAGCUAAUACCGGAUAAUAUUUUGAACCGCAUGGUUCAAUAGUGAAAGACGGUUUUGCUGUCACUUAUAGAUGGAUCCGCGCCGCAUUAGCUAGUUGGUAAGGUAACGGCUUACCAAGGCGACGAUGCGUAGCCGACCUGAGAGGGUGAUCGGCCACACUGGAACUGAGACACGGUCCAGACUCCUAAGGGAAGCAGCAGUAGGGAAUCUUCCGCAAUGGGCGAAAGCCUGACGGAGCAAAGCCGCGUGAGUGAUGAAGGUCUUCGGAUCGGAAAAAUCUGUUAAUAGGGAAGAACAAAUGUGUAAGUAACUAUGCACGUCUUGAAGGUACCUAAUCAGAAAGCCAAGGCUAAAUAAGUG
rnacentral:rRNA from 1 species